rnacentral:rRNA from 1 species
UACGGGGGGGGCAAGCGUUGUUCGGAAUUACUGGGCGUAAAGGGCUCGUAGGCGGCCAACUAAGUCAGACGUGAAAUCCCCAGGCUCAACCUGGGAACUGCGUCUGAUACUGGAUGGCUUGAAUUCGGGAGAGGGAUGCAGAAUUCCAGGUGUAGCGGUGAAAUGCGUAGAUAUCGGGAGGAACACCUGUGGCGAAAGCGGCGCACUGGACCAUAACUGACGCUGAGGCGCGAAAGCUAGGGGAGCAAACAGG